rnacentral:lncRNA from 1 species
GCUGUGCAAAGUCGUGCAGCUGUGGACUCUAAGAUACUUCACUUCCCUGCUAGUCACUGCAGAUCUGUGUGCUUUACAACAGUUUCUGGCAGUAAGUGUCUCAAGAGAUGUCUCUUCCAGUUGCAGCCCCCACUGGAGCCAGCAGUGCUGCCUGAAAAAUAAAGGGAUUCUAGUAGAAUAUUUGUAAGGCCUGGGGGAAAUGUGAGGGAAAAAGAAGGAAGUUAGGAAAAAAUAGAAAACAGGAGAAAAAAGACAAAAGGAAGAAGAGCGAAAACGAGAAGGGAAGAAGAGAUUAAAAUGUUAAUUUACAGUAAAACCUAUGAAAUACUAUGAGACGAUCUACAAAGAAUGGGCUAGAGCCGUUUGAGUUGACCUGGAGACGGUCAGAGUUAAGCAGCAGAGCAAAUGACACAAGUAAACGCUGUCUCCUUUUCUGUUUAAGGAAAGAAAACAUCCUGUAUGUUUGUACAUAUAGUUCAUGACCACAAAGAAAACUAGGAUGCAUUCCAUCUGGCUGAUGAUGCUAUCGAGUGAACAGCAUUUCUGUAGCCCUCAAGCCCAGUGUCCUACGGAUGACGUUGGGGUCAUGCACUCAAGGGAUGCAGUGGCUGGGGUACCUUCUAGAUGUCCAGAGACCAUGAGAGCCAGGAUGCCAGUGAUUUCAUUGAAGGGGUGAGGGUGGGGUGAUGGGGGAUCCCAGCAUGCACUAUGGGUAACUCUGGGAGCAGAUGCUCUCUCAGGUGUGAUGGGAUGUAGACAAAUAAAGAAGGGUGUGGUUGCCCCUGAGUGUGAAGAACUGACUGACUCUUCGCUUACAUCAGACACUCAUUAACACCUGUCACAUGUAAACAUAACAUCAGGUCCCCUUAAGCAAGCUGCUGUGAACAGUCUUCCUAUUGCUCAACACCCAGAUAUUCAAGGAACCUUCCCAAGUGCCAACGUUUAGGGAAAUGUCACAUCUCAAGUUCCUAUGGAAAAAAAAUCACAUUUUCUGCUAAUGGUGUUUUAAAUUUCUUGCCACCUUUUGCAGGUGGGGCAGGAAAGGCCAGAGUGAGUUCUUGGCCAGAAAAAUUUCAAAGUGAAUCCCCAGAGAACAUGCAGCUGAAAAGUAAAGAAAGAAAACCUGAAAUGUGCUCACAGCAGCCUGAAGCAAUUUAAGAGAGAAGGGGAGGGAGGGGGCUUGCCAGAGAUCUAGGCAUGGAAAUUAUUUCCCCUUUUAAUGCAGAUGAAAAUGAGAAGACUGUAGUCCCAAGAGGAAAUCCAAACCAACGAAAAGGUCUUCUAGCAUUCCCAGCAAGUAGACAUUAUUCCUCCAGCAAAUACGAUGUGUCUGUAUUGUGUGCAAAUGACUCAGAAAGGACUGAAGAAAUACGAGAUGAUUUAGGAGCAUAAAAUUGAAGACUUGGAAAGCAUCCAUCACAAAGAGACUAAAACCAGAAUGACUGCAGAACCCAGAGUGGGAAUCCCAAUGGGACAUGCCGAGGGCUGGACCACCACUGUGGCUGGAAAUCUGAGUGGGUGUCAGAGAGGAGAUGUGAACUUCUGUAACACGCCGAACUGCUAAAAAUUCCUGGGACAUUUCCUUCCCCAAUAAACCGUCACGCAGCAAAGCUGUUUCUGAUGGGGUUGAAGUCCUGGGAAAACAGUAUGGAGACCUUCACAUUGCAGGUGCAUGUGGUACCCAAGGUGAGUCCCUAAGGAUGGUCUCCUGCAGCAGUUAUCUGCGGCUCGGGUUGGCAUGGUUGGAGGACAAGAAAAGAAAGUCGAGCAUGCCUUGCUGCCGGAGGAGGGGCUCCACCCAGACCCACUCCAUCAGUCCUCAGGACAAGGUCAUAAGGAUACAAUGAGGUAACAGAAAAGGUAGAAACAAAGGAAAAGCCACCUUACAAUCAUUACCUCAUUUAAUUCCUGAAGAAGGGGGGAGAGCAUUGUUCCCAUUCUAUUAACCACAUUCCAGAGAAAUCAGAGAAUAGUGGAAGAAAAAAUCACCCUAAUCCCAUAAUUGAAACGAAACUAUUGUUUCUAUGUUGGCACUUACCCCACCCUGACAUGAUUUGUUAUUAAUUUUAUGAAAUUACAGAGUA